GUAAGCUACUAAGAGCGAAUGGUGGAUGCCUUGACUGGUAAAGGCGAUGAAGGACGUACUAGACUGCGAUAAGCUACGGGGAGCUGUCAAGAAGCUUUGAUCCGUAGAUUUCCGAAUGGGGCAACCCAAUGUAUAGAGAUAUACAUUACCUAUAUAGGAGCGAACGAGGGGAAUUGAAACAUCUUAGUACCCUCAGGAAAAGAAAUCAAUAGAGAUUGCGUCAGUAGCGGCGAGCGAAAGCGCAAGAGGGCAAACCCAGUGCUUGCACUGGGGGUUGUAGGACUGCAAUGUGCAAGAGGUAAGUUUAGCAGAACAUUCUGGAAAGUAUAACCAUAGAGGGUGAUAGUCCCGUAUGCGAAAAACAAACCUUAGCUAGCAGUAUCCUGAGUAGGGCGGGACACGAGGAAUCCUGUCUGAAUCCGGGUCGACCACGAUCCAACCCUAAAUACUAAUACCAGAUCGAUAGUGCACAAGUACCGUGAGGGAAAGGUGAAAAGAACUGAGGUGAUCAGAGUGAAAUAGAACCUGAAACCAUUUGCUUACAAUCAUUCAGAGCCCUAUGUAGCAAUACAGGGUGAUGGACUGCCUUUUGCAUAAUGAGCCUGCGAGUUGUGGUGUCUGGCAAGGUUAAGCAAACGCGAAGCCGUAGCGAAAGCGAGUCUGAAUAGGGCGCUUAGUCAGAUGCUGCAGACCCGAAACGAAGUGAUCUAUCCAUGAGCAAGUUGAAGCUAGUGUAAGAACUAGUGGAGGACUGAACCCAUAGGCGUUGAAAAGCCCCGGGAUGACUUGUGGAUAGGGGUGAAAGGCCAAUCAAACUUCGUGAUAGCUGGUUCUCUCCGAAAUAUAUUUAGGUAUAGCGUUGUGUCGUAAUAUAAGGGGGUAGAGCACUGAAUGGGCUAGGGCAUACACCAAUGUACCAAACCCUAUCAAACUCCGAAUACCUUAUAUGUAAUCACAGCAGUCAGGCGGCGAGUGAUAAAAUCCGUCGUCAAGAGGGAAACAACCCAGACUACCAGCUAAGGUCCCUAAAUCUUACUUAAGUGGAAAACGAUGUGAAGUUACUUAAACAACCAGGAGGUUGGCUUAGAAGCAGCCAUCCUUUAAAGAAAGCGUAAUAGCUCACUGGUCUAGUGAUUUUGCGCGGAAAAUAUAACGGGGCUAAAGUAAGUACCGAAGCUGUAGACUUGCACACAACUUAGAUUAUUUAAGUUUAGAAUAUGAGAAACUAAGUUAUAUGUUUAGUUAUAUUUUUACUGAUUUUUAUAGAGUAAAGAUAGAAAUAAAACUUAGUAAAAUCAGUAAAAAUAUUCUUAGACUAAAGUUAAGUAGUUUAAGUUGUGUGCAAGUGGUAGGAGAGCGUUCUAUUUGCGUCGAAGGUAUACCGGUAAGGAGUGCUGGAGCGAAUAGAAGUGAGCAUGCAGGCAUGAGUAGCGAUAAUUAAUGUGAGAAUCAUUAACGCCGUAAACCCAAGGUUUCCUACGCGAUGCUCGUCAUCGUAGGGUUAGUCGGGUCCUAAGUCGAGUCCGAAAGGGGUAGACGAUGGCAAAUUGGUUAAUAUUCCAAUACCAACAUUAGUGUGCGAUGGAAGGACGCUUAGGGCUAAGGGGGCUAGCGGAUGGAAGUGCUAGUCUAAGGUCGUAGGAGGUUAUACAGGCAAAUCCGUAUAACAAUACUCCGAGAACUGAAAGGCUUUUUGAAGUCUUCGGAUGGAUAGAAGAACCCCUGAUGCCGUCGAGCCAAGAAAAGUUUCUAAGUUUAGCUAAUGUUGCCCGUACCGUAAACCGACACAGGUGGGUGGGAUGAGUAUUCUAAGGCGCGUGGAAGAACUCUCUUUAAGGAACUCUGCAAAAUAGCACCGUAUCUUCGGUAUAAGGUGUGGUUAGCUUUGUAUUAGGAUUUACUCCGAAAGCAAGGAAACUUACAACAAAGAGUCCCUCCCGACUGUUUACCAAAAACACAGCACUCUGCUAACUCGUAAGAGGAUGUAUAGGGUGUGACGCCUGCCCGGUGCUCGAAGGUUAAUUGAUGGGGUUAGCAUUAGCGAAGCUCUUGAUCGAAGCCCGAGUAAACGGCGGCCGUAACUAUAACGGUCCUAAGGUAGCGAAAUUCCUUGUCGGUUAAAUACCGACCUGCAUGAAUGGCGUAACGAGAUGGGAGCUGUCUCAAAGAGGGAUCCAGUGAAAUUGUAGUGGAGGUGAAAAUUCCUCCUACCCGCGGCAAGACGGAAAGACCCCGUGGACCUUUACUACAGCUUGACACUGCUACUUGGAUAAGAAUGUGCAGGAUAGGUGGGAGGCUUUGAGUAUAUGACGCCAGUUGUAUAUGAGCCAUUGUUGAGAUACCACUCUUUCUUAUUUGGGUAGCUAACCAGCUUGAGUUAUCCUCAAGUGGGACAAUGUCUGGUGGGUAGUUUGACUGGGGCGGUCGCCUCCCAAAUAAUAACGGAGGCUUACAAAGGUUGGCUCAGAACGGUUGGAAAUCGUUCGUAGAGUAUAAAGGUAUAAGCCAGCUUAACUGCAAGACAUACAAGUCAAGCAGAGACGAAAGUCGGUCUUAGUGAUCCGGUGGUUCUGUGUGGAAGGGCCAUCGCUCAAAGGAUAAAAGGUACCCCGGGGAUAACAGGCUGAUCUCCCCCAAGAGCUCACAUCGACGGGGAGGUUUGGCACCUCGAUGUCGGCUCAUCGCAUCCUGGGGCUGGAGCAGGUCCCAAGGGUAUGGCUGUUCGCCAUUUAAAGCGGUACGCGAGCUGGGUUCAGAACGUCGUGAGACAGUUCGGUCCCUAUCUGCCGUGGGCGUAAGAAGAUUGAAGAGAUUUGACCCUAGUACGAGAGGACCGGGUUGAACAAACCACUGGUGUAGCUGUUGUUCUGCCAAGAGCAUCGCAGCGUAGCUAAGUUUGGAAAGGAUAAACGCUGAAAGCAUCUAAGCGUGAAGCCAACUCUAAGAUGAAUCUUCUCUAAGCUCUCUAGAAGACUACUAGUUUGAUAGGCUGGGUGUGUAAUGGAUGAAAGUCCUUUAGCUGACCAGUACUAAUAGAGCGUUUGGCUUAUC
rnacentral:rRNA from 1 species